GUUAAUGUAGCUUAAAUAAAGCAAAGCACUGAAAAUGCUUAGAUGGAUAUUUAAUAUCCCAUAAACA
rnacentral:tRNA from 2 species